rnacentral:rRNA from 1 species
CGUCCUGAUAGCGUUUCAGCACUCGAAAGAACAAAGGAGCCACACAGCAUACCCGCUGCCGACCCCCUUUUCCCUCUUGCACCAUGACGGUGCCUCGGAUAGGAUCGAGAUCGGUUGCCUCUAACCCCAGCACUUCUGAUUUGCGCAGGCCGCCUAGCGCCAUCAACAGGAGCAUGGCCUUGUCACGGUAGGUGUUCAGCGAAGCCAGAAAGCGCUGCACCUGGUUGACGGGUACGAGUUGGGGUAGGGU